UGUAAAUUUUUCAGCACCUGUUUGUAACACAGAUUAGUAUUUCAAUCUCGGAGCGGACAUUUUAUUGUAGGUUUUUACUCAGAUUUACGGACCUAGCAAGCGAUUUUUACGGCAUUGCAAUUUCUUUUCUCCAGGAAAAGCUUUAAAAGAUAUCUGCAUCAAGUUUUUUUAUAAACUUUUAGUACAUGUAUGCCCUGCUGACUGCAAAUUUUGAGGUCGAUUGUACUCGUAGUUUCAGAGUACAUGUGGAUUUUUUUUUUCAGAAGUGACGCAAGAACAAUAUUUAAUUUCAAUUUUUCAUGAAACAUGAUUGCUUGAUCAUGAUUGCUUGAUUGCUUGAUUGCUUGAUUGCUUGCUUGCUUGAUUGAUUGAUUGAUUAGUUGGUUGGUUGGUUGGUUGGUUGAUUGAUUAAACACGUUGGAUAGGAUCAAUUGAAACAGCGAAAAAGAAACAAAGAAGAUCUUGAACCCUAUAAUAAACACAUGAGACGGAAACAUGAUUGAUUGAUCAUGAUCAUUAUUGGUUGAUUGAUCAUGAUCAUGAUUGGUUGAUUGAUCAUGAUCAUGAUUGAUUGAUUGAUUGAUUGAUUGAUUGGUUGGUUGGUUGGUUGGUUGGUUGGCAAACACAUAAAACUCUUCAAGUAGUGCCCCAAAUCACAUAUGUACAUGACCUUGACCUUUGACAUUGUGACCUUUGUCAAAGUCAUUGCUUCACAAUGUCAUUGCAAAAGACCUUAUGGGUCAAGGACAUUUGGUUAAAAGUUUUGCCUAAAAAUGGCUUUAUAUAAACCAUUAAUGGGGAUUAUGUCCCUUACACAAUGGUAAAAUCAAUACAGUCAUAAUGUAACAAAGUUGCCCCUUGGAGUACCAAGCA
rnacentral:lncRNA from 1 species